rnacentral:rRNA from 1 species
AUUAAACGCUGGCGGCAUGCCUUACACAUGCAAGUCGAACGGCAGCACGGGGGCAACCCUGGUGGCGAGUGGCGGACGGGUGAGUAAAGCAUCGGAACGUAUCCUGGAGUGGGGGAUAACGUAGCGAAAGUUACGCUAAUACCGCAUAUUCUGUGAGCAGGAAAGCAGGGGGAUCGCAAGACCUUGCGCUCUGGGGAGCGGCCGAUGUCGGAUUAGCUAGUUGGUGGGUAAAGGCCUACCAAGGCGACGAUCCGUAGCGGGUCUGAGAGGAUGAUCCGCCACACUGGGACUGAGACACGGCCCAGACUCCUACGGAGGCAGCAGUGGGGAAUUUUGGACAAUGGGCGCAAGCCUGAUCCAGCCAUGCCGCGUGAGUGAAGAAGGCC